CUGUGUGCACUACAGCCCACCUGGAGUAGGUUCAAGAGAAAAUGGGAGGGAACGGCAGGUGUGGGCAGUGCUUUUAACAGGCUUUGUUAGAAAGGGAAGUGGGGAAGGGAGGCAACAGCUAGAGAAGGAUGGGAGGUUAAUUUUUAAUUUUUUGGACAGAGCAGUGUGGUUUGUGGAAUCUUAGUUCCCAGACCAGGGAUGGAACCUGGGCCCUUGGCAGUGAGAGAGCAGGGUCUUUACCACUGGACUGCCAGGGAAUUCCCAACAGAGGACUUUUUAAUGUGAUUUUUAGGGAGAAGAGAAGGAGGCACACACAGAGCGAUGGUGAUGUGAAGAUGGAGGGAGAAAUCGGGAUGCUGGCAGCCACCGAAACUUCCAGAAGUCCCUUCAAGGUCCUGGGAAACCCAGUAGAGCCCACUAGAUGGGAGGAACCCAUCGCUGAGUCACUGAUCCACCAUCGGAGAAAUACUGUCCACCAACCAGAAACAUCCGCAGGACUCUUACACAAAAUUUGUGUAUUCUGACUCAGGCUUUCAAUGUGAUGCAAGGAAUGAGAUGGCCUUCCUGGUGGCUCACAUGGUGAAGCGUCUGCCUGCAGUGCAGGAGACCUGGGAUCAAUCCCUGGGUCGGGAAGAUCCCCUGGAGAAGNNNNNNNNNNNNNNNUCCGGUACUCUUGCCUGGAAAAUUCCGUGGACGGAGGAGCCUGGUAGGCUAUGGUCCAU
rnacentral:lncRNA from 1 species